rnacentral:rRNA from 1 species
CCUACGGGUGGCAUCAGUGAUGAAUAUUGGUCAAUGGCCGGAAGGCUGAACCAGCCAAGUCGCGUGAGGGAAUAAGGCCCUAUGGGUCGUAAACCUCUUUUGUCAGGGAGCAAAGGCGUCCACUUGUGGACGAGAGUAGAGUACCUGAAGCAAAAGCAUCGGCUAACUCCGUGCCAGCAGCCGCGGUAAUACGGAGGAUGCGAGCGUUAUCCGGAUUUAUUGGGUUUAAAGGGGGCGUAGUCGGAGUGUCGAGUCAGCGGGAACAUUUCGGGGCUCAACCCCGUCGUGCCGUUGAAACUGACGCCAUUGAGGGAGUGAGAAGUAAGCGGAAGGAGUGGUGUAGCGGGGAAAUGCAUAGAUAUUAGGAGGAACACCAGUGGCGAAGGCGGCUUACUGGACUGUAACUGACGUUGAGGCUCGAAAGCGUGGGGAGCAAACAGGAUUAGAUACCCGGGUAGUC